UACAGAGGGGGCAAGCGUUAUUCGGAAUUAUUGGGCGUAAAGGGCGCGUAGGCGGCUUUGCAAGUGACGGGUGAAAUCCCCGGGCUCAACCCGGGAACUGCGUCCGAUACUGGAAGGCUUGAAUCCGGGAGAGGGAUGCGGAAUUCCAGGUGUAGCGGUGAAAUGCGUAGAUAUCUGGAGGAACACCGGUGGCGAAGGCGGCAUCCUGGACCGGCAUUGACGCUGAGGCGCGAAAGCCAGGGGAGCAAACGGG
rnacentral:rRNA from 1 species